rnacentral:tRNA from 1 species
GCCUGGGUGGCUCAGUCAGUUGAGCGCCCGACUUCAACUCAGGUCAUGAUCUCACGGCUCAUGGGUUCGAGCCCCACGUCAGGCU